CAGCAGCCGCGGUAAUACGAAGGGGGCUAGCGUUGUUCGGAUUUACUGGGCGUAAAGCGCACGUAGGCGGACUUUUAAGUCAGGGGUGAAAUCCCGGGGCUCAACCCCGGAACUGCCUUUGAUACUGGAAGUCUUGAGUAUGGUAGAGGUGAGUGGAAUUCCGAGUGUAGAGGUGAAAUUCGUAGAUAUUCGGAGGAACACCAGUGGCGAAGGCGGCUCACUGGACCAUUACUGACGCUGAGGUGCGAAAGCGUGGGGAGCAAACAGGAUUAGAUACCCGUGUAGUCCCUGUCUCUUAUAC
rnacentral:rRNA from 1 species